rnacentral:misc_RNA from 1 species
CUCAAGCUGAGGUUUUCAACAGCUUAUUACUGUGCAAGAAUCCUAAAUUACCAUCUUUCAAAUGAUUUUCUUUUGGUAAUAAAUAUGAUAUAUGUUGGCAGACAACAGAUCUGCAAAGAAGCUAUUUAUGAUGAAGUGGUCAACUAGGCUAAACCACAUAACUUAUCCGCCUUCAGCAUCUGAUAACUUUCUCAAGGAUUCAACUCAUUCUUUUUCUUCCCAAGAGACGCAUAAAUUGAAUCCUUGUCAAAAUAACUUCCACUAGCUUCAAGAGCCUUAAAUUCGAAUUUCAAACAUGUGAUUGGACUUCUGCUAAUGCUGAAGAAAUAGUCAAGGCUUCUAGCACAGGUUGAGUUUCUUCACUUGAGGUUUCCAUUCUAUACGAUUUACAACUGAAGUAGAAAACAGUACUCAUCAUGGAGUCAAUAAGUAUCACAAAUGAGUACAAUAUCACCAAAAGGGGCCCUUCCCAUAAUCUUGAAGAUCCAUCUCCAUAGCUUAUUGUCUUCACUCUAUGCUCAAACAAACCCUGCACAAUUGCCAUCCCAAUAGUUGAUCCAAGAAAUAUGAGAAGUCCAACUUGUGUCUGCCCCUUGAUGAGUGAACUGGACAUAAGCAAUGCUUGUGGUCCAGAGUCAUCCUCUAAAACAGAUAUCACAAUUGCAAUGUUGCAAAUAAUAAUAGCAUUUGCUAAAAUUAUAGAGAAAAUCAUCCCUACUAUCAUUGCGGGAUAUAAAAUCAAAUCGGG